AUUUAUAUAGUUUAAAAAACAUUACAUUUUCAUUGUAAAAUUAGAAAUUAGUUUUCUUAUAAAUA
rnacentral:tRNA from 1 species